GAUGAACGCUGGCGGUAUGCCUAACACAUGCAAGUCGUACGAGAGUUUUUAACUCUAGUGGCGGACGGGUGAGUAACACGUGAGAAUUUGCCUUUAGGAGGGGGAUAACAAUUGGAAACGAAUGCUAAUACCCCAUAUGCUUUUGAGUGAAAUGGAUUUAUCCGCCUAGAGAGAAGCUCGCGGCUGAUUAGCUUGUUGGUAAGGUAAGAGCUUACCAAGGCGACGAUCAGUAUCUGGUUUGAGAGGACGAUCAGACACACUGGAACUGAGACACGGUCCAGACUCCUACGGGAGGCAGCAGUGGGGAAUUUUCCGCAAUGGGCGAAAGCCUGACGGAGCAAUACCGCGUGAGGGAAGACUGCCUAUGGGUUGUAAACCUCUUUUUUCAGGGAGGAAUAAAUGACGUGUACCUGAAGAAUAAGCAUCGGCUAACUCCGUG
rnacentral:rRNA from 1 species